CUCCUAAUGCCAUUUUCACCCACCCAACGCCAUUUUCAUACUCCCAUGCCAUUUCACCUUGCCACCAUGUAUUUAAAAAGAAAAAUAAAGACAAUCGGCCAAGGAAAGAAAGGAGAGAAAAGUGAGAGGCUUGGGUAGUAAGUUAUUCAAGAGUAAUUGAAGAAAUAUCAAGUGGGUCUCAAGAUUCAAGAAACAUAAGGAAGUGCAAAAGUAAAGAUAGUAGACUGUGGUGGCAUGCCGAAGGAAAUAACGAGUGACCGAUAAGUAGAAAUAGCUAGAUACGCCUCGAACUAAUAUCGAUGUAGUAUCCCGCUAUUGUAAGUGUAGGAGUGCACGUGACUGUGCUAGUGGUGUGUGGUGUGGGAGUGCACAUGCCGGUAAUGAUGUGGGCGGGAAUGCGUGUGAUGAUACUAAAAUGCGUGUAGGGAGUGCACAUGAUGAUAUUGAAAUGUGCGUGUAAGGAGUGUACAUGAUGAUAUUGCCUUGUG